UACGUAGGUGGCAAGCGUUAUCCGGAAUUACUGGGCGUAAAGGGUGCGUAGGCGGUCUUUCAAGCCAGAAGUGAAAGGCUACGGCUCAACCGUAGUAAGCUUUUGGAACUGUAAGACUUGAGUGCAGGAGAGGAGAGUGGAAUUCCUAGUGUAGCGGUGAAAUGCGUAGAUAUUAGGAGGAACACCAGUAGCGAAGGCGGCUCUCUGGACUGUAACUGACGCUGAGGCACGAAAACGUGGGGAGCAAACAGGAUUAGAUACCCGGGUAGUCCCUGAG
rnacentral:rRNA from 1 species